GAUGAACGCUAGCUACAGGCUUAACACAUGCAAGUCGAGGGGUAACAAGAGAAAAGCUUGCUUUUCUUGUUGACGACCGGCGCACGGGUGAGUAACGCGUAUCCAACCUGCCCAUAACUAGGGAAUAACCUUGCGAAAGUAAGACUAAUACCCUAUAAUUUCCUUUGAAGGCAUCGGAUUAGGAAUAAAGAUUUAUCGGUUAUGGAUGGGGAUGCGUCUGAUUAGCUUGUUGGCGGGGUAACGGCCCACCAAGGCAACGAUCAGUAGGGGUUCUGAGAGGAAGGUCCCCCACAUUGGAACUGAGACACGGUCCAAACUCCUACGGGAGGCAGCAGUGAGGAAUACUGGUCAAUGGGCGGAAGCCUGAACCAGCCAAGUAGCGUGCAGGAUGACGGCCCUAUGGGUUGUAAACUGCUUUUAUACAGGAAUAAAGUUAGCCACGUGUGGUUAUUUGUAGGUACUGUAUGAAUAAGGACCGGCUAAUUCCGUGCCAGCAGCCGCCGUAA
rnacentral:rRNA from 1 species